GGGGAUUUGGCUCAAUGGUAGAGCGCUUGCCUAGCAAGGCCCUGGGUUCAGUCCCCA
rnacentral:tRNA from 1 species